GGGUAAAUGACGAGAACUUACAUUGUCUUGAAGAGAGCUAGUGACCUAAAACUCAUGCUUUGUAGGAUUACACUGGGGCCC
ensembl:snoRNA SNORD115 Small nucleolar RNA SNORD115